rnacentral:rRNA from 1 species
UACGUAGGGUGCGAGCGUUGUCCGGAAUUAUUGGGCGUAAAGAGCUUGUAGGCGGUUUGUCGCGUCUGCCGUGAAAAUCCGGGGCUCAACCCCGGACUUGCAGUGGGUACGGGCAGACUAGAGUGUGGUAGGGGAGACUGGAAUUCCUGGUGUAGCGGUGAAAUGCGCAGAUAUCAGGAGGAACACCGAUGGCGAAGGCAGGUCUCUGGGCCACUACUGACGCUGAGAAGCGAAAGCGUGGGGAGCGAACAGG